GGUAGUUCUUGAGCGUCUGCGGCAGUGGGAGUGUGUCGAUGUGAUGGAUGCGCUCUCUACCCAGAGCCAAUCGAGCUACUCGUCUGCACAAGUCCAUGAGGGGGAGGGGCUCCGCUAAGCCAGACGCUGAGCUCAGAGGCACACUAGGACAUCUUCCAGAAUUCCUCCUCUACUGGCUGCCGUCCGCCAGCACACACGGCUCACAGCCACGGACAUGGUGUCCGUGUCUCUCUGCCGGC